UACGAAGGGGGCUAGCGUUGCUCGGAUUGACUGGGCGUAAAGGGCGCGUAGGCGGUUUUGCACAGUUGGGCGUGAAAUUCCUGGGCUUAACCUGGGGGCUGCGUUCAAUACGUGUAGGCUUGAGUUCGGAAGAGGGGUCGUGGAAUUCCCAGUGUAGAGGUGAAAUUCGUAGAUAUUGGGAAGAACACCGGUGGCGAAAGGCGGCGACCUGGUCCGAUACUGACGCUGAGGCGCGAAAGCGUGGGGGAGCAAAACAGGA
rnacentral:rRNA from 1 species